AAAAGGCUUUUGCGGCAGAGCGUAAGUGACGGCGAGCGCAGCGCGACAGCAGCUGGAGGGCCGAGGAGGCGGGGCGGCGGGUCCUGUCCUCGCCAUGAGGCCGCAGCAGGCGCCGGUGUCCGGGAAGGUGUUCAUUCAGCGCGACUACAGCAGUGGCACACGCUGUCAGUUCCAGACCAAGUUUCCCGCAGAGUUGGAGAACAGGAUUGAUAGGCAGCAAUUUGAAGAAACAGUUCGAACUCUAAAUAAUCUUUAUGCAGAAGCAGAGAAGCUUGGGGGCCAGUCAUAUCUUGAAGGCUGUUUGGCUUGUUUAACAGCAUAUACCAUCUUCUUGUGCAUGGAAACCCAUUAUGAGAAGGUUCUGAAGAAAGUCUCCAAAUAUAUUCAAGAACAGAAUGAGAAGAUAUAUGCUCCCCAAGGCCUCCUCCUGACAGACCCCAUUGAGAGAGGACUUCGAGUUCUUAGAUUGAAAUUACCAUUUAUGAAGACAGAGGUUUGAGCAGUGGAAGAUAAGCCAUAGAAUUAAAGGUCCUCCCAGGAGAAAUGGCCCCUUCCCAUUGUUGUAUUCCCUUGAACCCUAGAAGUCCCUGGCCAGCACCUAUCCCACCUCCAGCUGGAACCCUCAUCUGUCCAUGGGCCGAUCGCAGAGUGUCCCUACCUCCUCUCCAGAGCAUCAUUCCUUUGUAUCUGCUGCCAGAGCCAUGGUGCCAUUUACGCCAAGGACUAACUUUCUAAAAUUCCACACCUGAUGUGACUUCUAGUCACUCAGCAUCCACUUUGUGUCUCCAAAUUGUGCAGGACUUGUCAUCUUUUGAUUAGCUUCUGAGAAAAUACAAUGAAGCAUUUCACUUUUUUUAAUUCAGUCAUUUAAUAAAGUAUGCAGUUAGAGGGCCUAAUACAAAGUUUCUUUCUUACCUGCUACCAGGUAAGAAAUUGCCAUUGGUUCUCUUCAUUCCUUGAGCCAGUUUCCCUGGUAGCUUUAUAUUCAAGAAGUCAUAUCUUAGCCAAAAUUCAGAUUAAUAAAAAGCUUUUCUCUAGGUGAGGGGUGUAUUAUGUCUGUGGUUUUGCCAGUGCAUCUCCCAGAUUUCAGAGAACUCAUUUCUGCCAUGUUUCAGAUCUUAAGAUUUAUUUCUGCUGUUCAGUUUCUCGAGCCGAAGCUCAAAGAAAAAGGAAGUAUAAUGUUGUUUGUUUUAUUACAGCAAUUAUUGCUCAUUAAAUCAGUAUUUAAUGCAAUGUUCAUUCUUUUCUUGGGAGACAGGUUGAUUUGCAUUACCUUUGGAUGUGGGAAGAUGUGGUUUGUGUUGCUUGUUCAUUUACACAAAUAAGCACAAUGAAGUGGAUGCUAAAUUGUCAAACACAUAAAUGUCCCUGCUCUGUUCCUGAAUGUGUAAUACACAGUGUAAUAAAUACUUUAAUUAUAGUUUUGUUAUAAAUAUAACUUAUGAGAAAAAGUUUGAUAGGAAUAAUACUGUAUAUUGCUAAUUUUUAAUCCUACUGACAAACUUUCUGAUCCAUAUUCUCCUCAUAUACAGUAUUCAGUACACAGAAAUGUUAGGUUUGGUUCAAAUAAAGUGAGCUAAGUGACCCAUGUGAAACUCUCAAGUCUUCAGUCGAGAUUUCUAGUUCUUUUGUCUAUACGUUCUUAGUACUGGAGUUUCUUAUGUUCUCCAUUUUUUUCAGGAUUUGAGAGCACUGUUUUGGGAGAAAGUUAAGGAAUGUAUUAGAGAAUGAAGCAGUUAAAAAGUUCCAACUUUCAGAGAUAUUGUAGGUGCUAAUACUGGAUUUAGUCUUACAAAUUUAAUUUCUGUCUGGUAGUUAAUAUAUCCCAUCUGUCUGUAAUAUUUAAUUGUAUAAAACUUAUUCAUUACUUUAUAGCCUGUAAUAGUGUGUCUGCCUUUUAAACCUGUUGCAAUAACUUUAACUUUGCUGAAAUAUUAACACAUUAGUAAAACUUUUCUUAAACAAA